rnacentral:rRNA from 1 species
UCGCUACUACCGAUUGGAUGGCUUAGUGAGAUUUAGGGAUUCUGGCUCCGAGUUGGCUUGUCCUCCUUGGAAUUGGAAAAACUAAAUCAAACUUGAUCAUUUAGAGGAAGUAA